rnacentral:lncRNA from 1 species
UCUCUCCCUCCUCCUUCUAAAAAUUGGCCAACAUACCCUUCUCCUCUCACCAUAACUGAAAUUCAUCAUCUCCUACCUUCACAACUUCAUCUCUUUCACUAACAAACCCUAUUCCAAGCUCCAAGAUCCUCCAUAGGAGUAAGAAGUUGAAGUGCUCUCAAGAAGCUUUGUUCAAGGCCUUUCUCACCAUCAUUUCUUGUCAUCUCAUCCUAAGAUUACAACCCUAGCCUUGUGCUAGUAGUAGUCGUGUUUGCUGAGGAGAUUUGGGUUACGAGUACUGAAGACGCAAUACUCUAAGGAACUUACUGUUAGAUCACGUGAAUGGAUAGGCUAUUAUCGUAAGACCAUUAAUCCUUGUAUAAGGACCGAGAGGCAUGAGUGAUAGAUCUAUUGGGUGUUGCGAGCCCCACACAUGGGCCAGCGUGUGGCUGCAUGUGGUGACUAUGUCGUUCCGCCGGAAGGACCGGUAUGAAGUACGCGUUACAGGAAAUUAAGUAUGGAUCUGGCGGGCGUUGGAAUUUCAAGUCAUGUUAAGUAUAAAGAUGUCAUCCAUGGUUUUUGGGUUUUGGCCAGUGUGUCUUAAUCCUGGACGAGACACGUCUUCCAAACUUGGAUUACAACUAUUAUCUUUGACGAGUCCUUAGCAAACUUUUACACGAUUCAUCUGGUUUGUAAAACUUAAAUUUUGAAGUCUACGUUUUAGACAAUGCUGUUAUGUUUUAAACUCAUUUUAUGGAUGACAAAUCUUUGGUAUUAUC